UACGGGGGGGGUAAGCGUUGUUCGGAAUUACUGGGCGUAAAGGGCUCGUAGGCGGCCAACUAAGUCAUACGUGAAAUCCCUCAGCUUAACCGGGGAACUGCGUCUGAUACUGGAUGGCUAGAGUUGGGAGAGGGAUGCGGAAUUCCAGGUGUAGCGGUGAAAUGCGUAGAUAUCUGGAGGAACACCGGUGGCGAAGGCGGCAUCCUGGACCAACACUGACGCUGAGGAGCGAAAGCCAGGGGAGCAAACGG
rnacentral:rRNA from 1 species